rnacentral:lncRNA from 1 species
GUGGAGGGGAAGGUUACCAGGCAGGACCCGGCCAGGACAGAGACUGUCCUGGUUUCAGCUAGGAUAGAGUUAAUUUUCCUCCUAGUAACUGGUAGGGUGCUGUGUUUGGGAUUUAGGAUGAGAAGAAUGUUGAUAACACCAUGAUGUUUUAAUUGUUGCAGAGCAGUGCUUACACCAGGCCAAGGACUUUUCAGCUUCUCGCUCUGUCCUGCCAGCGAGCAGGCUGGGGGUGCAGCAGGAGCUGGGAGGGGACAGACCCAGGACAGCUGACCCAAACUGGCCAAAGGGGUAUUCCAUACCAUCUGACGUCAUGCUAAACAAUAUAUAGGGGUGGCUGGCCGGGGUGGGGGGCCGGCUGCUCGGGGAUAGGCUGGGCAUCGGUCAGCAGGUGGUGAGCAAUUGCAUUGUGCAUCGCUUGUUUCGUACACAUCAGUAGUAGUAGUACUGUUAUCAUUAUUAUUAUUAUUAUCCUUUCUUUCCUCUCCUAAUAAACUGUCUCUAUCUCAACCCACAGGCUUCAUUUUCCUGUUUCUCUCCCCCAUCCCAGAGAGGGAGGGGGGAGGGUGAGCGAACGGCUGUGUGGUGUUUAGCUGCCGGCCGGGUUAAACCACAACAGAGACCUGGUCAGGUUGCCUAAGGCGGCUGCGUGCCCCACUGCCUCCUGGGAGAAGGAUUCACCCUGCUCACCGGAGGCUGGGAUACCCUGCCACCACUCUGCUCCCCUGCGGCACUCAUCUCCAGUCCCUCCUGGCAGCGCCUCCAAGGACACCGACAUACUGGCAGCAAGAUGUGAGCAGGGAUCUGGUAAGGCACUCACCCAGGCCUGGUGCAGCACACGGCCGAGACAGAUCCUGCCCUGUCUCCACCACUCUGUUGCCCAAGCCCUCAGGCUCCCCCAGAUCCCAGGGGUACCCGGCAUGGACUGCCAGACCUUUGGGCUCCCCGAAUGCCCAGCCCUGGGUCAGCACCUGCCUUCUGCUUCCCACUCUGACUUCACCGCCCUCUGACUCACCCCCUCCUCCUGCCUGACUCACCCAUUUUACCAUGGCCGGCCACGGGUGUCAGGGCAACGCCACAAACUCCGUGAGGCAGCAGACAAGGCAGGAGAACCAGUGCC